rnacentral:rRNA from 1 species
CGUGGAGCUUUACUGUAGCCUGAUAUUGAAAUUCGGCACAGCUUGUACAGGAUAGGUAGGAGCCUUUGAAACGUGAGCGCUAGCUUACGUGGAGGCGCUGGUGGGAUACUACCCUAGCUGUGUUGGCUUUCUAACCCGCACCACUUAUCGUGGUGGGAGACAGUGUCAGGCGGGCAGUUUGACUGGGGCGGUCGCCUCCUAAAAGGUAACGGAGGCGCUCAAAGGUUCCCUCAGAAUGGUUGGAAAUCAUUCAUAGAGUGUAAAGGCAUAAGGGAGCUUGACUGCGAGACCUACAAGUCGAGCAGGGUCGAAAGACGGACUUAGUGAUCCGGUGGUUCCGCAUGGAAGGGCCAUCGCUCAACGGAUAAAAGCUACCCCGGGGAUAACAGGCUUAUCUCCCCCAAGAGUUCACAUCGACGGGGAGGUUUGGCACCUCGAUGUCGGCUCAUC